AAUACAAUGCCUUUGGGAUGAAUGCAGCACCCUAUAAUGACCCUUCUUCUUCUGCUGAAUUCAGGUAAUCUUUUGACAGCUUUAUCUGAUCAUUCGGGUGGAAAACAUCAAUUGUGGUGGGACGAAGUUGAUAUAUAGUCUUAAUCAAGUGUCUGAGAUAUGUAACACGACGACAUACCCGGAUGGUUUUGUCCAGAGAUCCAGUGUACAGCUUGUCGUAUGUAGGUGAAAUGCAGAGGCACGUGACAGCCUUAGAGUGUUCGCGGGCUUCUUGUAUCAGCCGGGGAACUCUUUUGUCAGUGUCCCAAACCUCCACACAGAAAGAAAACCUGCUGUAAAUCGAAGGUUUCUUGCUAGCUAUGGAGAUUGCUUGGGAUCUUGUUGAAAGCUUACCUUAAUAGUUCCAUCAGAAUGGCUGGAGAUCAACCAGUUUCUUACAUGAAGUAAUGACAGAAUUUCUCCAUUCAUGGACACGUCCAGCUCGGGCCCUUCGACGAAUGACCAUAGCUCAGCCUGCAGAUCAUAGAGUCAGUGCCAGUGAAAAAAUCGAAGAGAAUUCAUCGUGCCCAGUCGCAACUCACAGCAUCAAGCGACUGCGACUUCAUCAGUGCUUUUAUUACAUCGUGUGCUACGGCGCAGCUCUUCUUAAGCCUCCUCAAGGUUUUCCAGACGCUUUUGGCGCACGCCGUGAUCUCAGUCUGCCCAUCUAAAAUGCGGAGCUUGUUCGUUACUAAAUCACUGAAAGUAAAACACAGAAGACACUACCUUUUUCGCUGAUGAAGCCUUUAAGAGCAAGGGCUGCCAAGAUCUUCUCUUCCACAUUCCUCGACGACUGCAGCACGUUUAUGAACUCGUCGAGCAGAAACUUACGGGCGAUUACCCGCCCCCCGCAGUCGGGAAGUUUAUACAGCAUGUGCACAAGCCAUGUUGCUAUAACUAGACAAGAUCUUGCUAUCUCAAUUGAACUGCUCCUGAAGCAUUCCUUCAAUGCUUUGAAGAUUACGCCUUUCUCGUGGCUCGAAAGCACGAAGGCCAUUCUCUUCUCCCAAAUCCUCGACGCAUUUUCGUCUUCCCUCUGAAAUUAAUGAUAAACCAUGAGAAAAUACUGGUCAAACCCGGCUAACUUUAGCAACCGGGCUUCAAUGUCCAACUUCCUUGAGGAUUUUUUACGCCCCAAAAGUGACGAAAAUGCUCCAAGGGCUGUAACUUGGGAAGUCGGGAAGUCGCUUCUCUGCAGUGCUUCUAUGAAUGCAUCCAUGGCUUCUUCCCGGUAAAUACUCAUCUUCCUCGGCGCAGCCUGAGAUGCGAAAGAUUUAAAAUUGAUCGCGGGUUGUUCGUUUGUUUUGUCGUUGGUUGAAGAGAUGCUAUGAGAAAUGAAAACAAACCAAGAGAUCUAGCUGUAGAAGAAGUGUAGCAGUGGCAAGUUUUUGAUCCAUUGGAGACAUCUGUAGAUGAACCAAUAGGCUGUGCAUUGUGCUGAAUGUUCCUUCUUCCUUAAUUUUAUGCAAUAUUUGGUUGCUCAA